GCGACCCCAAGUCAGG
rnacentral:rRNA from 1 species